rnacentral:lncRNA from 1 species
AGAAUGUGGUUUUGUGUCUAUGUCCUAAUCAACAAUCAUACGGUGAUUGCGGAUUUUGCCGCCCAAAUUUAACAACUAUAGUUUUGCCGGAUGAUCCCGGUUGCAAAAGAACCCGAUCAUUUAAAUCCGUGAUACCACCACCUCUAGCAGCACCAUCAAAUGGACAAAUACCAUAUGAUGGACAAAUACCAUUAAAUGGACUAACACCGGCAGGGGGUCCAAAUUCAAAAGAGUCUAGUAAUGAUUCGGGUAUGUAUUCUUCCUUCUCUUUAUGUUCUAUUAGGUUCUUCAGCCGAAUAAUCAUAUUUAGUGUUUAUCUGAACCUAUCUUACAAAAAUUUACUAGAGUUUAUCACAUUUUUAUCAGUUGUUUUUGGCUGAUUUCAAUAGUUUAUACGUCUGGAACUUAUUUGCAAACAAUUUAUUAACAUUUAUGAGUUAAUUAUAAGUAUUCUGUACAUAAACAUGUAUAUGAUCAACACUUGUUAAAUCAAAGUUUAAUUAAGUUGGUUAGACAAAUCCACUCUAACAUUUUCAUUUUUUGGAAUUUAGUUUGGGAUCCAAAAAUGUUUAUGGAACCAACUUAGAGAAACGCAUUUGAUUGUUCCAGCUACACUUAUGGUAACUUCAGUAGAAGUUCAAAAUUUCUCUAUUGAAAAACUACGAAUAAAUUCUAUUGUAAAUCUAAUAAAUUGUCGAUAAGUUUCAAUUUGAAUACGAUGUGUACCUUAAGGAAAGAGAGUGGAAAUUUCGUGGGUGACUUUUGAGUUGACUCUAUGGGCAUGAAAAUCAUUUUUGCUGAACAUGAGAACCAUAACUCAACUCAAACAUUAUGAACUAAAUUUUGUCUCUAAACAUAACCUCAUCCUCUUCUUUUCUUCCUUGUUCUCAACAUAAUGGAAAAUCACAUCCCUAUGCUCAUCAAUAUUACACACAUCUCUUUCUUCUUAGUAAUAAUAACUACCACUCUUUUUCCACAUACAUCUCAACUAGUUAUCGAUGAUUAUUCCACUUGUAGAGACAUAAAAGAUAAGGAUUUAUAUUAUAUUUGUUAAAUUAUUGUUGUUAUUGAAAAAUAAAUAAACAUGAAUUUAUAUUAUAUUACAUUAAGCCAUACUGUUAGCGAGUAUUAGUGUUUAUUUUUGGUACAUUAAGCCAUAUGCUGUAUCUGCUAUUGCUUGCUUUCUCUGCUAGGCCUUUGGUGAAAAUGCAUAUGUGUACAUGUUUAUGUUUAUUAUACACAAGUAGAAUAUUCUCCUUGAAUUAGAACAAUGCUAACUGGUCUUUUCUUUCACGACUAAUUGUUGCAGGACAAUGGAAUUGGAAGAGGAAAUUCGUCAUUGGUAAUAAAUCGAACUUUCUAAAGUUUUAAGGAUGUUGCAUGCACCAUUUAAAAUAAAAAAAUUAGAACUUCUUAACACGUGUCCAUUUCCUAUAAAUAAAUAAGAGAAAUGAACUUAAUAAAAAAAAAAAGCAGAUCUCUAUUUUGUUUUAACAGAAUCAGCAGUUCAACUCAGGAUACUCAAAAUGCCAAUACAAGGCUUAAACAAAAUUGCAACACUAACUUUAGACCAUGCAACUUCAUGUUGUGACUUGGUACCCAUAUCCUUUUGCCAAAGUUCAUUUUUUGUGUUCUGUAAACUAGCAAUUAUAGCUUUGUUUCUUCCAUCAGCACUUAAUAAGAUAAUUCUUAUUCUAACAGCAGGUGUUGGAAGUGCAGCAAUGGUAGCAUUGCUGAUGUGCAUCAUAAUCUGUUGUUAUAGAGGCAAGUCAUCGAUACUAGUAAAAUUUUGGUUUAAGACAAAGAAUGAUAUAAACAUUGAAGCAUUUUUAAAAGACCAUGGAGUUCUAUUGCAAAAAAGAUAUAAGUUUUCAGAAAUAAAGAAAAUUACAAACUCAUUCAAAAUUAAAGUUGGUCAAGGGGGUUUUGGUGCGGUGUACAAAGGAAAGUUAUUCAAUGGUUCUCUUGUAGCAGUGAAGAUAUUAAAUGCAUCAAAAGGAAAUGGUGAAGACUUUAUUAAUGAGGUUGCUAGUAUUACUAGAACCUCACAUGUUAAUGUUGUUAACCUUCUUGGAUUUUGUUUUGAAGGUUGUAAUAAAGCUCUCAUAUAUGAAUUUAUGUCUAAUGGUUCCCUUGACAAAUUUAUAUACAAUAAGGAACCUGAAACGAUUGCAUCUUUAAGUUGGGAUAAUAUGCAUCAAAUUGCGAAAGGGAUAGCCCGUGGGCUAGAAUAUUUGCAUAGAGGAUGUGCNUUAUAUACCCGUUACCCGUCCCAUACCCGUGUUUUGAGAUCGGGGAAAACCCAUACCCAUACCCAAACUCAGUCAAAACGGGGAAAACCCGUCAAAUUGAGUUUGGUUCGGGCGGGUAACCACGGGUAUGGGUUUUGUUGCCAUGCCUAAAUGUAAUUGGUUGGGGCAUGGCUCUUUCACUAAUAUAAAUAGCAUGCUCUUGUACUAUUGUUACUCACACCAUCACAGAACAAAGUAACACAACAACAAGUGUUUUGUUCUAGUAGAGUUAGAGAGAAAGAAAUAGUUUCUCCUCAUGAGGUUUCUCCUAGGUAGUGUCAGUAUUCUUCUAUUUACAAGAGAGAGUGGUAAUUGUACUCUCCUUGCAUUUAGAGAGAGGUCCUGCAAUUUCUUCCACUUAGUGAAAGUUCUCUACUCUUGCCCCGUGGUUUUUUUUUUCCUUAUUUGUUGAGGGGUACUUUCCACGUAAAUAUUGUGCGUUCAGUUCCUCUUUUCUCGUCUCUUAUUUUAGCUACGUGAUAAUAUUUUGUUACUCUGAUACCUAACAGGAAAUUAGUCUAUAUAAUUUCAUUGUAGAUACUAAAUUGAUGCGACCAGUUAUCAAAUCGAAAUGUCUUCAGAUUUACGAAAUUUUGAAGAUUUUGGUGUAUUUAAAUGAAUAAUGUUGACUUUUUUAAUUGAAAGAUGUUAGUAUGUCAAUUGUUGUGUUUUUUUUCUUUGAAGAAGCAAAAUGGAAUAUAUUACUGAAAAUCUAAAAAUAUUAACACAAGAAGUUCCAAAACCCUAGUUGAAAAAGUAUCAAACUACAUCCACAAAACAACGGGUAACAAAAUAAAAAGGACCAAAAGACAUAGCCACCCCAUUACUGAUCGUUACCCAAACACGGUAAAUGAUCAAUCACCAUAAAUAGUUAGAGAGAGCAAAGCUAGGACGGUUUGCUUUCAGCCACCAAUAUGAUUGAAGUUUAAUUUUAUCUAGUAAUUGAUGAAACGAGGUUUCUUUUUGGAGAAAAAUCUGGGCAUUUCUUCCAGCCCAAAUCACCCACACAUAUGAGGUUAAAAGCUGAGCGGUUGUGUUGUGAAUUCGACGAGGAAACCACACCAAUAAAACUUGAUGCGUGGAGCAAAUUAAUACCAAGUAAUCAAAUCAAGUGGGUAGCAAAUAAUCCAAACAAAAACAGCAAGAGAUAAAAGAGAGAGAGAGAGAGAGAGAGAGAGAGAGAGAGANNNNNNNNNNNNNNNNNNNNNNNNNNNNNNNNNNNNNNNNNNNNNNNNNNNUGUUGGUCUAAACCUUGUUUUUCUACACACUUUUAUCAUCUGAUACAAGGCUGUAUUUAUAGUGGAAAGUAAACCCUUAAAAAACUGAAACAAAUCUAACUGAAAAUACGUUUUAUUUUUAUCUUCAGCGCGACCAUCGUGGCGCGAUGAGGCUUCAUCGUGGCACGAAAUUUCCAAUGUCUUCCAAGGAAUCUUGCUUCAACCAUCGUGGCGCGAUGCUUCUCCAUCGUGGCACGAUACUCCAGAUUUCUGAUUUUAAGUUAACUCUCACAGGUUGCUUUUGGAGAACCCGCCUAAGGUGCCAAAUUGAUAUAAAUGAUCCGACACAUGUUUAGGAUGCACUAUGUCGAAACUAAGCUAGUGAGAAAUAUGAUACCAAAGUUUACCAAAAAAAUCACAAGAGAGGAAUAAGUGCUAUGCAUCUUCCAACAUGCCGCAUUCACUCACGCAUAAUAGAGCAUUUCGUUGUAAACGCCAAGCAAAAAGACUAACUUUUAGGGGCACUUCUUUAUUCCAAAUUUCUGUUAUGUGAGUAGUUGUCAAGUUGUUGUUGACUGAUGACAACAAAUGAUUAUAAGAACUUGUGACAUUAUAUUUGCUGGACGCAUGUAAGUGUCAAAUUUACCUGUCAAAAUAAUUAGACUGCAAAACAAUAUUAGUUAAAAUAUCACAACACUCCCGCACUUUCUUGCGUUAAUGCAUAUUCAAACUAUAUACCAUCAACUUUUAAAUUCUUUUAAUCUUUUAGUUAAACAUUAAACAAGUGAGCUAUCCAUCCCUCGAACAGUUUUGACACUACAUGUAAAUUGAGUUCGUGUUUAGUAGCAGAAAGUUUCUCAAAUAGAUUAACUCCAUCGGAGGAAACAACCAAAAAAAAAAAAAAAGAGCCUAGCUCAUAAAAUAUGCGUGUGAGAACAGAGAAUGAAAAUAGUUAGACUUUUCCAAUAUAAAAUUAGUUGGUCAUCUCAAAAUAAUAAUAAAAAUUAGUUUUUUUUUUUAGCAAAGGAAAGUUAAUGCAUUUCAGUCAUAAUCAGAGAAUACAAAGUAAGUGGUACAUUAUAGAAAAUAUGGGGCUAGUUUGAGAAUAGGAUGCUCUAGCUAUAUUGUGAGUGACCCUAUUUACUUGCCUCCGAACAUAAGACACUACAAAGCGGAAUUUCUAAACAAUAAAUCUCUACACCGUGAAUAAUAAAAUUAGUUGGCAGCUAAAAAUAUUCCAAUAUUUAGUCAAAAAGAAAUAUUCCAAUUUGAUUUGGUCAACAAGGAAAAAAACUAUUAAUAUUCGAUUUGAUGCUUAAGCAAUUUCUUAUGUAAUUACCAAAAGACUCAUUCAAAUUUGCCUGGGUGUUCUAUGACUAGUAUUUUUCCUAUUCUAUUUUUUUCUUGGUCUAUAGUAUUUUUCCAAUUCUAUUUUAUGAUAUUAAGACAAACUAAGUUAAGCUGAAUUGUAGCAGCACUAAGAGAAAAUGGAUUAAUAAAGUAAUAACAAAGGAAUUGCCAAAGUUAUAUAAAAGGAAGUUUGGAGGGUGUGUUAAUAAGAAGCUAGAAAGAAAAGGAAAACUACAUUUUAAUACUAAAACCACCCAAUUUUUUGUCCAUCUUAAAAGUCAACACCAAUUUUACAAAGAUACCAAACAAGUCAUACUCCAUUCGGUUUUGACCUUUACACAUAGAAUGUGGUAGCACCUUUUCUUACCUUACCUCCUAGUUCUUCUUCUACUUCAUUUUCCCUGCAUCACUAAUACAUUUUCUCUUCCUUUAGUCUUCAUUUCUUCUUAGUUCAAACUUGAUCAUUUGCCUCCCUAAGAAGGGCUAACAUCAUUUCAUCUUCUAGUUAGACUCUCAUAGAAUUCUAUAAUUAGAUGCUUUUCAAUUUUCAUGUCACAUCCACAAAUGCCCUCCCCUCAUCAUCUUUUGCCUUUUUCCUUCAUCAUCAACAUCUGUCUCUUACUCUCACUCUUCUUAAUUCCAAUACAUGUCACUAGUGAUGUUGAAAGCUUCAAAUCUUGUGCACCUUUUAGUUGUGGAAAUUUCACCAAUAUUAGUUACCCAUUUUGGAGUAUUAACAACCAACAAAAUUAUUGUGGUCAUCCAAACUUCAAACUUGAUUGUGAACAUGGCAACUUGACUAUUGAAAUUAAGUCACAAAAGUUUCACAUCAUUGAUAUAAAUCAAACUUCACAAGUUUUGAGGAUUGCAAGGUUGGAUUUAUGGAGUUAUGAUUCUGCUACUAUUGCUUCUUGUCCCAAGAAAUAUAUCAAUGUAACCCUAGAUUCGGAAUUCUUCAAUUACACUUCCAAUUAUGAGAAGUAUACGCUAUUAUAUGAGUGUGGUUCUCUUCCCGAUCCAUACUCGUCUUCUUUGGGUUCAGAAGUUUCUCAAUUUAUUUCUUGCCUCAUAGAGGAUAAACCUCGUGAUGCAUACUUAAUGUCGAGUGCGAAAGUGGCUGAUUUCAUUGAUUUGGGGUGUAAGAAUAAUAUUACAAUUCCUGGCCUAAACAGUUCCUUCCUAGAAGACUCGGAUUCUGUGGCAAAUGUUUUAGACGAAGGAUUUGAGGUUAAGUGGAGUGGCGUGGAAGAAGACAUAUGUGAUGGUUGCAUGAAAUCUGGAGGGAGAUGUGGAUAUAAUACAACUGAGAAUGUGGUUUUGUGUCUAUGUCCUAAUCAACAAUCAUACGGUGAUUGCGGAUUUUGCCGCCCAAAUUUAACAACUAUAGUUUUGCCGGAUGAUCCCGGUUGCAAAAGAACCCGAUCAUUUAAAUCCGUGAUACCACCACCUCUAGCAGCACCAUCAAAUGGACAAAUACCAUAUGAUGGACAAAUACCAUUAAAUGGACUAACACCGGCAGGGGGUCCAAAUUCAAAAGAGUCUAGUAAUGAUUCGGGUAUGUAUUCUUCCUUCUCUUUAUGUUCUAUUAGGUUCUUCAGCCGAAUAAUCAUAUUUAGUGUUUAUCUGAACCUAUCUUACAAAAAUUUACUAGAGUUUAUCACAUUUUUAUCAGUUGUUUUUGGCUGAUUUCAAUAGUUUAUACGUCUGGAACUUAUUUGCAAACAAUUUAUUAACAUUUAUGAGUUAAUUAUAAGUAUUCUGUACAUAAACAUGUAUAUGAUCAACACUUGUUAAAUCAAAGUUUAAUUAAGUUGGUUAGACAAAUCCACUCUAACAUUUUCAUUUUUUGGAAUUUAGUUUGGGAUCCAAAAAUGUUUAUGGAACCAACUUAGAGAAACGCAUUUGAUUGUUCCAGCUACACUUAUGGUAACUUCAGUAGAAGUUCAAAAUUUCUCUAUUGAAAAACUACGAAUAAAUUCUAUUGUAAAUCUAAUAAAUUGUCGAUAAGUUUCAAUUUGAAUACGAUGUGUACCUUAAGGAAAGAGAGUGGAAAUUUCGUGGGUGACUUUUGAGUUGACUCUAUGGGCAUGAAAAUCAUUUUUGCUGAACAUGAGAACCAUAACUCAACUCAAACAUUAUGAACUAAAUUUUGUCUCUAAACAUAACCUCAUCCUCUUCUUUUCUUCCUUGUUCUCAACAUAAUGGAAAAUCACAUCCCUAUGCUCAUCAAUAUUACACACAUCUCUUUCUUCUUAGUAAUAAUAACUACCACUCUUUUUCCACAUACAUCUCAACUAGUUAUCGAUGAUUAUUCCACUUGUAGAGACAUAAAAGAUAAGGAUUUAUAUUAUAUUUGUUAAAUUAUUGUUGUUAUUGAAAAAUAAAUAAACAUGAAUUUAUAUUAUAUUACAUUAAGCCAUACUGUUAGCGAGUAUUAGUGUUUAUUUUUGGUACAUUAAGCCAUAUGCUGUAUCUGCUAUUGCUUGCUUUCUCUGCUAGGCCUUUGGUGAAAAUGCAUAUGUGUACAUGUUUAUGUUUAUUAUACACAAGUAGAAUAUUCUCCUUGAAUUAGAACAAUGCUAACUGGUCUUUUCUUUCACGACUAAUUGUUGCAGGACAAUGGAAUUGGAAGAGGAAAUUCGUCAUUGGUAAUAAAUCGAACUUUCUAAAGUUUUAAGGAUGUUGCAUGCACCAUUUAAAAUAAAAAAAUUAGAACUUCUUAACACGUGUCCAUUUCCUAUAAAUAAAUAAGAGAAAUGAACUUAAUAAAAAAAAAAAGCAGAUCUCUAUUUUGUUUUAACAGAAUCAGCAGUUCAACUCAGGAUACUCAAAAUGCCAAUACAAGGCUUAAACAAAAUUGCAACACUAACUUUAGACCAUGCAACUUCAUGUUGUGACUUGGUACCCAUAUCCUUUUGCCAAAGUUCAUUUUUUGUGUUCUGUAAACUAGCAAUUAUAGCUUUGUUUCUUCCAUCAGCACUUAAUAAGAUAAUUCUUAUUCUAACAGCAGGUGUUGGAAGUGCAGCAAUGGUAGCAUUGCUGAUGUGCAUCAUAAUCUGUUGUUAUAGAGGCAAGUCAUCGAUACUAGUAAAAUUUUGGUUUAAGACAAAGAAUGAUAUAAACAUUGAAGCAUUUUUAAAAGACCAUGGAGUUCUAUUGCAAAAAAGAUAUAAGUUUUCAGAAAUAAAGAAAAUUACAAACUCAUUCAAAAUUAAAGUUGGUCAAGGGGGUUUUGGUGCGGUGUACAAAGGAAAGUUAUUCAAUGGUUCUCUUGUAGCAGUGAAGAUAUUAAAUGCAUCAAAAGGAAAUGGUGAAGACUUUAUUAAUGAGGUUGCUAGUAUUACUAGAACCUCACAUGUUAAUGUUGUUAACCUUCUUGGAUUUUGUUUUGAAGGUUGUAAUAAAGCUCUCAUAUAUGAAUUUAUGUCUAAUGGUUCCCUUGACAAAUUUAUAUACAAUAAGGAACCUGAAACGAUUGCAUCUUUAAGUUGGGAUAAUAUGCAUCAAAUUGCGAAAGGGAUAGCCCGUGGGCUAGAAUAUUUGCAUAGAGGAUGUGCCACUCGAAUUUUACAUUUUGACAUAAAACCACAUAACAUUCUUUUAGAUGAGAAUUUUUGUCCAAAGAUCUCAGAUUUUGGACUGGCAAAGCUUUGCCUGAAGAAAGACAGCAUUGUUUCGAUGUCGGAUCAAAGAGGGACAAUGGGGUAUGUAGCUCCAGAAGUGUGGAAUAGACAUUUUGGAGGAGUUUCACACAAGUCUGAUGUUUAUAGUUAUGGAAUGAUGUUGUUAGAAAUGGUGGGUGGACGGAAAAAUAUUAAUGCGGAUGCAAGUCACACAAGUGAGAUAUACUUUCCUCAUUGGGUAUACAAUAGGCUUGAACUUGGUAGUUAUUUGAGACCUGAUGGGGUAAUGGAUACGGAAGAAGAUGAGAUUGCAAAGAGGAUGACCAUUGUGAGUUUGUGGUGUAUUCAAACAUUUCCUAAUGGCAGACCUACAAUGAGUAAAGUAGUUGAAAUGUUAGAAGUUGACAUUAAUUCGUUGGAAAUACCACCAAAACCAUUGCUUUCGUCUCCUACUAGAUCAGUAUCAGAGUCUUGCACUUCUUAAAUUUGAGAAUAUGUAUAAUUGUUGUAUACUUUUUUAUCAGAGUAGAGAGAUCAUCUCAGCCCUUUUAAUCAUCUUGAGAAGUAUGUCGCUUUCAGUGUCUCAAAUUGUUUUAUAUUGGAUGUAAACUCUAUAUGAUCAUGAGUAAUUGGUUGUGUAAAUUCUAUGUUAUAAAGUCAUGUAAACUCUAUGUUAGAAAUUAUGUGGAAGCAACUAGCUAGUUAAUAAUGCUCAAGGCAUAUCAUUAACUCUAGUUUUGAAAAAUGAAAGUUUACAUUGGUUCCUCCAACAUCAAGUUUCCCUGACAAAUGAAAGUUACCAACCUUAGCACAAAAGUUUUUGUCAAGGAAAAUAUUGUGAGACUUUACAUUACGGUGGAUAAUGCCAUUAUAGUCGAUAUAGUCCAAUGCAUUUGCUUUAACAAUAUCAAAAUCCAAUCGGUUAAGCCAAGUUAAUGGUGUUUGGCCUUGAAUAUGAGCAGCGAGAGUACCAUUGGACAGGUACUCAUGUACUAGCAAGCAUUCCUUUUGAUGAGUGGUUCAUCGAUAAAUUGUAGCAUGGUUUGUGUCCCGUGUAAUUUAGGAAUGCAGUUUCAUUGUUGAACUGUUUCAAUAUGGUGUACUUGUCUUCAGUAAAGUAAUGGACUCUAAUCUCACAACCAUUCUUUAGUUUUCCUAAUCAAACUAGAGUAUAAGAGCAAAUAAUAAUAAUAAUAACCAUCAGUCACCUGAAUUUGCUCUGUGUCAGUCAGCUUCAUCCCUCCUUUAACUUCAAAUGUUACUUGUGAUGACUUGCAACGUUAAACAAUGUUGUGGCAGUACAUGUCGGUUUCAAACAAUUUCCGCAUAUACAAGGGCUUAAAUUGUAAACAUUAUACACACACUUUCUCUUAAACACACCUAGCAAGCUACAACAAUUGGCUAAUGAUUUCAAACAUACACAUGAUUCCAAUCAAAUACCUCAACAUUUUCUAUCAAUACUCUAAAGAUUCAAUAUAAAGGUGAUUUAAAACCCACGUCGACUGCCAUAUGAUUAUUAACAUUUCACGUCAUCAUAGAUAACGUUUGAAGUUAACGGAGAGAUGAAACUUAUCAAUGAAGAACAAAUUCCGGAACUAAAUUGAACGAUAGUUACAAACUCAGAGACUAAAUUUUCUAUUCACUCAAAGUUUUUUAUCAGGUAAAACACUUCUUACCAUAAUAUACAGUGGGCGAGCCUUUCUUAUCAAGAAUGUGAGCUUCAUCAAAAUAAUUUGUGGCUUUUCUAAGUUGCUCAUAUGGGAAGAUUUGCCAAUUCAAUUUACUCUGCUUUGGAAAUGUUUCAGAUGUGCUAGUGAAGCAGCAACACAUACAGAUAUCCCACCUCAUUUCCCCAACCUCGUAGGGUCAUAUUGCACGUCCUAUGUGAAGCAUAGUUGAGAAAAAGGCCGAUUAGAAUUUCAAUUUUUCUAUGCAUAUUCAUUGAGUUUUAUGAAGUAUAUAUUUUGUUUGUUUUAAACCACUAAUUUUUAGCGGAAGUUCUUGUAAUCAUGAAUUUGGUCACGAGGUAAGUAAAUUAUGGUCCUGUUACAACCAUAAUUCAAACUUAGUCUCUCCUGAACGAUUUGUUUGUCCUUAACUGAAACUCAUUGAUCCCUUGAGCUCAAUUAAUUAUUUAUUUAUUUAAGGUUUUUAUUUAUGUUCAAAUAAGAUACACCAAAGCAUAACUUGAUAAAAAGAAUAACUUUGACAUAUUCUUUAAAAUUCUACAUAACAUAUCCAUUUUGGUCAUUGAAUCUGUGAGACGCUGCCACUAUAGUCCCUAUAUGUAUUGAAAUUGCAAACGUAUCCUUAUGAAAAACGGAAAUGUUUUAUAGCCGUUAACUUAAGCUCAAAUAGCCAAAUAUUUGUUGAAUUGAAGUGUUGCUUCUCCAACCAUGCUCACAGCCCAGAUUGAUCAUCAAUGCCACAAAAUGCAUCGCUUAAGCUUUCUUCUUUGACCAUGUGAAUGCCCGUUGCUUCUAGAUCCCUAUGUUUCUUUACUAAGGUUGGUACAUUCAGAUGGUUCUCUACAUUUCAGUGCCAAUUUCUGAAAACAUCGACAUCAGCAAAAUUAGCAAAUAAAAGAAUACCAAUAAUAACAAGUUUUUCUAGUUUUGUUGUAAUGAAUCAAAACAAUUGCAUAUCGCACAACUUGAACAUCUCUUCAUUCCAAUUGUUCAUCAAUUUAGUAUAAGAACAAUUCCCCUAACAACAAACUUCGAAAAAGUUUAUAUAAUAGAGAACGAAUAUUUUUUAGCAGUAUCCAUAAAAGAGAACAAAUAUUUUUAGCAGCAUCCAAUUGGAUCAUAAUAGUUGUGCUCGCGAUUUUCGGAUGUCAAACCAUUAAUUGAUUUGAAUCGUCAAUCUUUGAACUCUCGAUUUUUAUUCUUGGGAAGGGAAAAAAUGAGUAAAAACCCUUAUCGAGACUUUGGAUUCGGGGGUUGGUUACGCGAAGGGAAGGUGCUAGCACCCUAAGCGUCUAUGGUAUUCCAUAGGAACCUCUUACCUAGAUUAUCUUGUGCUAAGCUACUUGUUUAUUUGAAAAAUAUAUUGCCUAAAGUCUAAGUGAAAGAAUGGAGGGAGAAGAAGUAUGUUUUUGGUUAUUUUUAUUUGAUUUGGAAGGACGAGUCCUCUGCCUACGUACCCUUUUUGGGAAAGGGAUCAAAACCGACGUAGUUCCACUCAAGAAUUUCUUUGGUGGGUUAGGUUGAUUUUAAGGUUUUUUCGAAAAUGGGUUUUAAGAAGAGAAAGAGGCCUCAAGGCAUGAGAUAAAGGAAACGAGUGAGGUUGAUUGAUUUUAAAUUUUGAAAAUGAUUGAAGUUGAAUUAAAAUUGAUUGAGAAUUUGAUUAAGAAAAUAAAGGAAAAAAAGUUAUUAAGAAAAUGAUUUUUGAAGUUUUGCAUAUUUGACUUUUUGAGAAAAUGAUUUUUCUAAACUAACGGUGAAAACUAACGUAACGUCGUAAAAACUAACGGAAAGCGGUAAAUAAAAUGUGGUAGUGUCGGUGCAUGUGUCGGUGCUUGUGUUACCUACAUUAUUACAUCAAUUCCUAAAUACAACCCUAAGGCCUUUAUGCCAAAAUAAAAUGCAAGAAAUAAAAUUACAUCAAUUCCCUAUUUAUACAUACUAAGUCAAUGACAAAAUAAAAUAAUGGGAAAAUUAAAUGUGCAUGCUAUGAUUCAAGACAAAAAGAAAUUAAAUAGUUAGUAAUCACAAGAAAUAUUAUGAUGAAUGAGACAUAAGAAAUAAUAAGCAAGAAUUAAGACAAAAAAUAAUUAAGAUCAUCAUAUAAGAAAUAAACAAAGAAAAAUUAAAAAAAAUAACUAGGAUGGACUUUUAAAAUUAGAGAAAAUUAAAAUAGUGAGAAAAAUAUUUUUUUAGAAUUUUUCUAAACACAAAGAUGUCAAAAAGUGUAAAAAACAGUAUUUAAAAAUAAAGAUAAACAAAAAUAAGAAAUAAUAAAACAUUGGCUCAGCAGGAUUAAUUCUGGACCAUUGGAUUAAAUCAAUAGUCCAGAUUCAUUCACUGGAUUCAUCACAGCCGUAGGAUCUAAGAUCCAACAGUUGGAUAAAAAAGAACAUGGAAUACUGCAAGCAAGGAACACACAUGUGAUCUAAACAGAAUCAUCUUUGACCGUUAGAUUAAAAAUCAAACAGUCUAGAUCUGAAGGUGUACUAAAUGUCACCAUGGAUUGCACAUACAUGACCGUUAGAUUAAAAAAAGGAAAGGAUCUAAAGGCUUAGAAAGAAAGAAGAAAGGAAUCAAAUGGACCGGUCCGGUUCAGAUGAACCAGACCGGUCUGCACAUGUUAUAAAGCAUAGGGACCGGUUUUCUUCCUCAUUUUCUCCUUCCUCCUUCUCUCUAAAACUUUUGCUCUCCCUUCUCUCUAGAAAGAAAAAUGCAGCGCCCCUUUUUUUGUCUUCUCCGGCGAGUGCAGUUUUCCGGCGCGGUGGCCGGUGGUGGCACCACCGCGCCGGAGUUUCAAAACUCACCCUUUUCAAAAAAUUUUUUACAUAUUUGGAAUUCCUUUUUCUUCCUCUAUUCAAAUCCGGACUCGAAAUUUUGAAAACAAAUCACAUAAACACUAGAUCUAGAAAAAUCUUCAUCAACCAAAACUUUUCAAAAACUUUUUCAAACGAACACAAACCAAGCAGAUCGGAAGGAGAGAGGAGGAAAAACGUGUUACCACUGUUACGACGGAAAACUUCAGAACCUUCAAUCUAGCUCCGGCGCUGGUUCGGUUCCGGUUCGUUGCUCCGGUCUGGUUCCGGUACCUCCCUUUUGCUCCGGUUCGGAUUUCUUGUUUUUCCGGUUCGUGCUUGCUGUUUUGGUUCGGAUUGUGUUGUUGUGGUUCGGUUUUGGCUGUGAAUUUGUGCUGUUUAUGUUAACAAAUGUUCAUGAAUGUUGUUGGUGAAUGUUGGUGAUAUUCAUAUUUGUUCUUAUGAUUUUUGUGUUUGAUCUGGUAAAGAGGAGAGAGAGAAGGAAAUUGUGUUUGUGACUUGAUUGGAAAAAAUGUGUGGUUGCUGAUUUUUCUGUGAACAGUGAUUUUUUUCUCUGCCCCCUUUCCCAAUGAUUGACAGUGUUUUUAUAGUGACAAACUAGGUUUGGCUCUGGUACAAACAAAUGACCAAAAUGCCCCUGCAGCUGAGACUUGGAGAAAAAGAUUUGACCAAAAAGAUAAAUAGAUAAAUAAAAAAACAAAAUGAAUAAAAUAAAUAAGAAAAUAAUAAAAAAAAAAUAAAAAGAAAAGAAAAGAAAGAAAGAGGUCACGUGAGUGACUUCUUUUUGUUUUUUUCUAAAAAAAAUAAAAAUAAAAAAAGAAUAAAUAAUAAUAAACAAACUAGCCUAAAAAGAAAAUAAAAAAGUCCCUUCGGAAUCUGACAUGAGGUACUUCAAAGUAUCCUCCCUGCCGAAAUUUCGAUUGAAAAGAUUAAUAAAAAAAACGCCUUUUAAAAUGCGAUUAGCCAUUUUAAAAUGACUUGUCUGUUAUGACUAAAAGGAUUAUAAAAUGCGUUUAUAAAAAUGCAAAUGGAGUGAUUUUAAAUGUUGUAGAAAAUGCAAGCGAGGACUUAAAUGCAAGAUGAAAGUUUUUAAAUGAUUAAUGACGAAAAACACGAGUUUUAAAAGGUAAAAAAACGAAUAAAAGAGAAUCUGAACUAUUAAAAAAAAUGUGGACAAAAAAGAUUUCAAAUGGUCCAAAUUUGGGGUAUGACAAUAGUCUUUCUCCAACUGCUUGGUCUUCAAGCCAGUCCUUCUGUUCUGAAACUUUGUAACAAUCUGUCUUCGCCACACCCCUUCAAAUUUAGGGUCUCCCAUCAAACUCAUAAUACAAAAUCACAGCAAGAUAACCAAACUCAUAAUAAUUAAUAUCAACAACAUCAAGAACUCAGUUGAACAAAUGGAAGAACACGUAAUCAAACAUCAAACUCAAAUUUCAUAACACAGUAUCUUCACUGCACUCGCAGGUGCAGUUCAGGUGGAAGACUUGGUCGCACAGUUCAUCCCCAGUCCACUUGCAGUCCGUGAGUCUGAUCAGAACAACUAAUAGACAAUUAAUGGCUACAUUUCAUCUAAUGGACACCUUUGCUUCAUAUAUUAAAAAAUACAGGUUAUUGAAGAAACUGCAACCUCAGGAAUUUAGAAGAAUAUGCAUGAUUUCUCAUUUUCCAAUAUACCUAUAAAAUAUAAUUGAUUUGAACAAAAAAUAUAAUUCUAAGCAAUAAGGAUCAGCUGUGUCCACUUACAGCAAAACAAUUUUUCAAGAUUAAAAUCGAUAUUAUGAAAUCAUACAUCAAGUACAUCUAAGAGUAAAACUGUCAAAAUGCAUUAUUAUUAUUCCACCAAAAUUGAAGAGAAUUCUUUCUCAGGAUCUCAUUUUUGCAUGAUUGGGCUGCCAUGUAUUCUUCUCACUACCAAGCACAAGUGAGACAGGUGAGAGGGAAAUGUUCAAAGCUACAUCUAUUUACCUUUUAUAGUAGCAUAAUAAAAAUAAGUUGCUACUGCCUGUUUCAAUUUCACCUAACUAGGCAUAUAACAAGCUGCCAAAUCCUUGCUACCAAAUCAAUUGCUAAGGCAACUCCUCCAUGGCCAUUAGCCUAUGGAUCCUUCAAAGUCUCGCCAAUUAUGUAGAAAGGCAUACUAAUGUCCAAAUCUGCAGAUAAAUUCUGUAGAAAGGCAUACUAAUGUCCAAAUCUGCAGAUAAUGAGUGUCCACAACUUCAUAGUCUCAUCUCGAAUAUGAAAGUUCUAUAAAGUGAAUUUAUAGACAGAAUAAAAAUCGAACUUUCUAUACCUUCCAGCAAAAUGGACAGAAAAUUCUAAACCACGUCCAAUUGAGUAAUGGCAUCUUCAAUUAGGUAGUUUAAUAUAAAUAGUAUCUAUAAAGGUUUCGGUAUACACAUUUAACACAUGAAACAGCAAUAAUAAAGUCUUCUGCCUGUUAGGUGAGGAAUGUACAUAAAUAAAAUCAUUCAAUAAUGCAGAAAUAUAAAUUGAAAAUAACAGUGUACAAAAAGAAAAACCUCUUACCUAGUUUCAAUUUUACAGUAGCCCUCUCGCAAUCAUUUCACGAAGAAGUUUCUCUGCCAUGUCAUUUUCAUCUUUUUCGAAGAGAGAAGGAAUAACUAGUUCAUAAAUUUUAGCAUUUGGAAUGCAACCAUUGUCUUCCAUUUUUGACAACAAGGCCAACACUUCAUCAAACAAGCCCGUGUAACAAAACCCUUGGAUCAUAACACUAUGUAUAGACAUCUAGAUUAUAGCCUUUGACCAAAACAUCUUCAAAAACUUUUUGCGCAUCCUCUAGCCUUCCACUUUGGCACAGUCCACUGAUAAUGCAAUUGCCUGGUCAACACGAUGGUUUUUGCAUAAAGCAUCCAAUAUAGAACUGUAAAUAACUAUAUUAGGUGGUUGACCUCUAUCAUGCAUCUCAUCGACUAGCUUCAGAGCAUAAGAGAUUCUCCCCGAUUUACACAAACCAUCAAUAAGGAAACUGUAAAUUAACACAUUACGAAUAAUUUUUCUACAACGCAUUUCUUCAAAGAGAUUUAUGGCUUCAUCCACCAUUUUAAUCUUGCAAAAUCCAUUAAUCAUGGUAGUAUAGCUCUGAACAUUAGCCAUGACUCCCCUUGCGGCCAUACUAUCGAAUAUUUCCUUGGCCUUGUUCACUUCGUUAAUCAAACAAUAUCCAUCCAUUAAAGAGCUAUAAGUAACAACACGAGGCUUUAUGUCGUCUUUGAUCAUCAUGGCUAAUACAUUUUUAGCUUCUUUCACCCUACCAUCCUUACAAAAACCAUCAACCAGUAUAUUAAAGGUAUACACAUCCGGGUUGAUGUUUUCCGCUGUCAUUUUAUUGAACAAACCAAUUGCAUCAUUCAAUUUAGAAACAGCAGAAAAACCACUAAUUAAAGCAUUGUAAGUGAAAACAUCAAGGCCAAUUCUCUUAGCAACCAUUUCAGAAUAUAAAUCAAAAGCAUCGUUGACAAGUUUAUAUUUGCAUAAACUAUCAAUAAUUGUGGUGUACAUUAUCACAUUAGGGAAGAUAAAAUCUUGUUAAAUUGGAUGAUGGGUGGAGUAGGAUUCUUGUGAUGGAGCAAGGUGUUGAAUGAGGAUAUGAGAUUGUGUUCUUCAUCUUCUUGUUUGGGAUGUAAUUGUGAGUAGAGCCUUAUUAAAGAGGGGAAUAAACCAAUGAAAUUAGGGUUUGGAGAUUGUUGAAAAUGUGAAAAAUUGGGUAUGAAAAGAGAGAAAAGAAGAGAUCUCAAAGUUGAAAAUGACAUGAUUGUUCUCUGUGUGUGUGUGUGGAUUGCAACUAAACGGAUUAAGAAUGCCGUUUCAUAGAAUCAAUCUUGUUCGCUAUUCAGUGAGUGAGUCCAAAUUGUUGUUUGUAUAACUAUAACUACUGCGUACACGCCCAAAUGUCACCUUUUUAGAAUUUUAUUAUUGCAAAAAUAAAGGAAUUUUUUUAUUUAUUUAUUUUAAUAAUUAAAAAAUUACACACGUUACCUCCACGUCAGCUUUGACUUGGUCAUUAUUUACAAUUUGUGCAUGUUAGGCGUGAAGCUAAUCAAGCUGCGCAUUAUUUAGCAAAAUACGCAUCAUCUCAUCAUGAAGAUGUAUGGAUUGAAGAUGCUCCCAAUUGUAUUGAUGAUGUCUUGGCGUUUGAUUUAUUGUCAGACACCUUUUAAUGGAAUUUUUUUUCCUUGUCAAAAAAAGCUUUGACUUGGUCAAAAUUAAUCCGGGGGUCAAAACUGUAAGACAAUACUUAAGGAGCAGUUUUGUAUUUUACUUUGUUAGGGGCCAAAAUCUUAACUUCUUAAAACAUAGGGAGCCAAAACUGUUAUUAAAUCUUUUUUCUAUGUUUUAUAUCAAGGUACCUGUACCUUCCUUUUUAAAAAUUUAUCAUAUUACGUACCGGUACCCGUACUAGUACCCGGUACGAUACCCGUACCUAUGCAUCAUAGCUUAGGAGCUAUUCACACAUAAUUCAGGGUUUUCCAUGAUAAUUGAAUAAGAGUGUUUUGUUUUCAAAUACAAUGAUAGCAAAUAGUACAAGGAAAUAGAGUGGAAAUUUCGUGGGUGACUUUUGAGUUGACUCUAUGUCCAUGAGAAUCAUUUUUUAUAAGCAUGAGUAUAACUCAACUCAAACAUUAUGAACUGAAUUUUGCCUUAAACACAACAUUCUCCUCUUCUUUUCUUCCUUGUUCUCAACAUAAUGGAAAAUCAUAUCCCUAUACUCAUAAAAAUUACAUACAUCUCUUUCUUCUUAGUAAUAAUAAUUACCAUUCUUCUUCCACAUACAUCUCAACUGGUUAUUGAUGAUUAUUCCACUUGUAGAGACAUAAAAAAUUCCUAUAACUGUGGAAAUCUCACCAACAUCUCUUAUCCAUUCUGGGGAAAAAAUCGUCCUUCUCACUGCGGCGCGGGCCAUCAUUUUUACCUUAACUGCCACGAAGACAAUAUUACUACCAUUCUGAUAUCCUCACAAAAUUUCACUGUACUUGAAAUCAACACAAAAAAUCACACCAUGAAACUUAAAAGAACAGACCUUCAAAAUCUUUGUUCUCCUAAGUUUGUUGAUACUUAUUUGUUUCCACCUAUGUUUCAAUAUCUUCGAAAUGUCAUAAACAUCACAAUAUACUAUAAUUGUACUAUGACUACGACUAUCCCUUUCCCUACCCGUCAAUUUUUAGCAUUAUGUGAUCAAAAUUAUGAUUUCUGUUAUUUGGGUGAUAAAAAUUAUGUUCUUGAAAAAUACUGGAAUUGCAAGAAACAUAUUCAUGUGCCGGUAGCAGCAGAUUUUGCUAUACAUAUAAAUUAUUUUGAUUCUCUUCCACGUAAUGUUCUUGAAAUUGGUUUGGGUGAGGGGUUUGAAGUACAGUAUAGUGUGAAUGAAAAGUAUCCAGAUGGAGGAUCUAUUGCUUCUUCUACACACUGUCAAAAUAUUAUGUUUAGAUAUCUCUUCCCGGCAAUGGUCACGUUGCAAUUUUUAAUAUUGUAGAGAAUCACAAACAAAUGUGACUGAUGUGGUCAAAGCGAAGCUGUGUAUAGACCGCAACAUAAUAAAAAACACAAUAUUGUCGCGGCCUAGACUGCAUAAGAGCGCAGUCAUAAGAGCGCAGCUUAGUUAUUAAUUUUUUGGUAUUGGUUUAGACAUUCUUGUUUGCAUAUUCAAGUGUUUAUUUGCCAACUUUCACAUAUUCAAGAUAAAGUUAAACAAAUUUUAGGGCUUAGUUAUGUUCAAGUAAUUUUUUAGUUAUUAAUGUAUUUAAUUAUUGUUUAGUUGAAAGAAAAGUUGAGCAUUAUUUGUAGUGUGGAGCAUUCACUGAUUUCACCUAAGGAAAAAACAAAGUCGUUGUUGUAUUGCAUUAUUUGACUUAAUCAGCUUAUUUCACAACAAGUACAUCUUAAGGCUAUUUUGGUGAUUUAAUUGGUCAAAGUAGUUGUUGUAUUGCAUUUUGUAUGCAUGUGCGAAGCAUUUAUUUUCCUUCUUUUGAGAGGCACAAUCAUAGAUUUCUUUUUCUACCUUCUCAUAGCCAACUACCAUGUCAAAAUUCUCUCAAGAAAAAAAAAAACUACCAUGUCAAAUUAAAGUCAUCCAUUCAUUUUCUCCUACGAAAAGACUAAAAAAUUUCAAUUCAUAAAUCUUAGUAUUACCACGUUCACACACACACACACACACACACAUAUAUAUAUAUAUAUAUAUAUAUAUAUAUAUAUAUAUAUAUUUUAAAUCUAAUAACUAAAAAUUUACUUUAUAUAAGAUGAAUAAAUGAAAAAUUCGAGAUUUAAACCUUAACUCCUACAACAAAUGUAUUACAAUAUCACUCCUAACCGAGUUAAAGCUCACUCACAUAUAUUCUAGUCAUAAUUGUUUAAGAUUACUAUUCAAAUGAAGCCUAUUAUAAUAUACAAUUUCAUACAAAUAUAACCACAAUAUAUAUCGGAAUUUACUAUUUUGUUACAUCACACUUUAAUUUUUUAUCUAUAUUUCAAAAUUGAUGAUAUGACAUUGAAGAAUGGACAUUUUUAAUUAUAUUUUUUCACCCUUGUUCUCCUUUCCUACCAUAUGAGUGCAAGAAUAUCAUUUAUUUAUUAUAUAAUAUGUACAAAAUGUAGUAGAACCUGAACACUUCUAUUGCGAGGUACUACAUCUAGGGCUGGACAGUAGUCGGGUUCGAUCGGGGUUCGGGUUCGAAACUCAAAUUCGAGUCAACCUGUGGGUGCUGUAAGCAGACCCAAACUCGACUGUGUUGCGAUUCGAUUUGAUCAGUUCACGGUUUUUUUGGUUUCUACCGGCAGACCAGUUUUGGAUGGGUCGGUCCAAUCUGUCCAACCCUAACUGCUUAUGAUCUUUAAAGAGUGUUUCAGAACACUCGUUAACAUUUCCUUAUUAUAUAGUACUCCCUCAGUCCCAAAUUGUAUAUCACUUUAGAAAAAAUAUUUGUCCCAAAUUAUAUGUCAUUUUACAAUAGCAAUGAAACAUUAAUGUUACUUUUUCGAUUAUAUCAUUAAGUAUUUAUUACUCUUUCUUCCUUCAAUUCUUUCAUUUAUCUUUCCCAUAUCAUUUAUUAAGGAUAAUUUUGUAAAACAAUUCAUAAUAUCUCUUUCUCACACAAUAUUAAUUACAUUUCUUAAUAUGUGUGAAAUGCCCAAAACGUUAUACACUUUGGGACGGAGGGAGUAUAUAUUUAUGUGGGAAGCUGAAUUAACUCAUAAGAAAAUUGUGAGAGAUUCAAAUGAGUCUUUAAUCAUCAAUAAAUAUAAUCACGCCCAUUGAAAUGUACAAACCGCGCUCUUCUUUCACCAUUAAACAAAAUUUUACAAUUUUCAAGUUGACUUCUUCUAUAACUUAAGCAUCAAGUUUCAGAGCCUACUGAUUCAUUAUCAUGCACACAGAAACUCCCCAAUAAAACUUGCCAAAGAUAUAAUUAGUAAUAAUAAUUUUUUAAACUUAAUUCAUAAAGAAGCAAGAUAAUGUAAUUUACACUAAUAGUUUAAUAUGUGAAAAAUACUUGGUGAGUGUUUGGAUACGCUUUUAAUCACUUAUACCUCAUGAUUAUUUUUUUCUUUUCACCGUAAAAUUUAAGAAGUUACAAACUGAAGUUUUGAAUUGGUAGAUGUGUACAUCAACCAUUAUUUUGAGUAGCUUAUCUUAAACAAAUUGAUAAUUUUAUUUUUAUAAAGUAAUGAUUUUCAUUAUGGUAAAUAAACAAACACAAUACAACUUUGUAAAACAGCAACUAAUUAAAGAAGAAUAAUUGAAACAAAAAUCGCAAAACAAUGAAACAAUACACAAUUGCUUAUUUAGGAAGUUCGGCUAUUGGUUCCUACCUCUCUGACUAUGAGCAACUAUAAUUCUAUAUAUUAUUUGAGUGAAUUAAAAUUUACAAUGUUACAAUAAGUCAUAUAAUAUAUAUAGUACUACGAAGUCCAUAUUACUAGCUCCGAACUGUAUCCAUACUAGCUCAUCUUCUAUGUCUAUAUACUCUACAAAACUUCAGUUUUUUUUUUUCCUUCAAAAAAACUUCAGAUUUUUUCUUUUAAAUAUCAAAAAACUAAUGUCUAAAUAACUUAAUAUGUAAUAAACAACUCUUUAUGUGUAUAAUAACAAGUUAUAAAACAAACCCUAAAAAAAUACUUAUAAAACAACUUAUUCUUUAUAUAAGAACAAUUUAUCCAUAGAGGUUAGGCAAUUUGUUAAUCCAUCGUAAAAAAAAAAAAAAAAAAACUGAAAGGUAAGAUGUUUAUCAAAACGUACCCAUAGUUUCCACAGUUGCAAAUACGUUACUUUACUAGUGGCCACAUGACCAUGGAUUCCUUUCCCACUUACUAAUUUUUCCUCUAAUUAAAGACAAAAAAUUCAUAUGACUGAUUCAUCACAUAGAUGAAAAAUCAAUAGCUAUAUAUAUGCAAGUAAUAGUAUCAUCUCAUUCACACACACAAUUAUUAACUAUCAAACUAUAAUUCUAAAUUUUUCAAUAUAGUCACUAAACCAUGUCAAAACCCUUGCAAACCCUAUUUACAUUAUCCAUCAUCCUCAUAACAUCAUGUUAUGCUGAUAUUUCCAACACAUCAACACUAUGUCCUCCUUCUUUUUGUGGCAAUAUUUCCAUUCAAUACCCUUUUUGGAUUAAGUCUCACACAAUCAAUCCUAGUGAUCAAUUAUGUGGUUAUCCUGAUUUUGGCCUUGAAUGCUCUCAAGACAAAGCCAUAAUCACUCUUCCAAGUGACACAUAUUAUGUGACAAAUAUAGACUAUGAUACUUAUUCAAUUACCCUUGUUGACAUAGAUAUAUUAGAUCAAAAAUGUCCUAGAGCAAGAAAAAAUGUUACACUUUCAAAUCUUCCAUUGUCUUUUAGCUCAUUAGAUUUGAAUCUUAGUUUCUAUUUCAAUUGUAGUUCUUACCCUUUAUCAUUAGACCCUAUAGGGUGCUUUGAACUUAGUAAUGAUGAAAAAUUGAAGUCUUAUGUGAUUUUGGCUAGUGAUGAAGGUGAAAUUGGCUAUGAUAAUUGGAAGUGUGAGGAACAUGUUAAUGUGAUUGUGAAGAGUGAUGAGUUAAAUGAUGUUGUUGGUGGUUUGAUAAAUGGAUUUGGUUCAGCUAUGAAAAAAGGGUUUGUGCUUAAUUGGAGAAAAGCUGAGGAUUGUGCUCAGUGUGAGAUCUCUGGUGGUUAUUGUGGAUAUAAUCAAAGCACUAAGAAAUCUACAUGUAUAUGUGGAAAUGGUAGUGUUGUUGCUAAAAGUUGCAAAAAAGGUACACUGCUUUUAAAUUGUUUAAUUAGUUUUUUUUCCUCGAUCCUUGAAUCAUUAUCUUCACAUUAUUUAAUCACAUGUAUAUAUAUUUCACAUAAUUUAAUCACAUGUAUAUAUUGCUGCAUAUGCAUAGUUAAAAUUGUUUAACUUUUUAGAACUAGCUUAUUGCAUCCGGUAGAUUAAUUGUGUAGAUUAUCCCAUAAGUCUUCAUGACAUCAUGACUGGGGUUCGAUCCCGGUACCUUCACUUAGUGCGUGUGAGUUUAUGAUGGCUUUGUCAUCUUGUUUAUCUCCAAAACAAAAAAGAUUAAUUAUGUAGAUUGUGGUUUAAAAUUUGUGUCUUUUGAACUUCAUAUAAAAAUAAAUAGUUUUUUUUUGUCGCUAAUAUUAAAAAGGAAAAUGCUAUUUUUUCCAACAAAUAACCUACCGAAGCUACCACGAUAGUUUAAAGUAACGAUGUGGGCCAUCUAUGAUGUUUUCGAUCAACCCGUGUAUUGUUAUAAAAAAAACCAUUUAACAUUUAAUUUUGUUUGCCAUUUGUGAGUGUUUAUCCAAAUAAAUUUGAUUUAGUGUUGUGCUCUAGUUAAAAUUGCUUGAAAGUUACCUUUCUUACGGAGAGAAAUUGCUUAAAAACAAUUCAACUAUAGUUAACUACAAUUUUGUCGAUCAAUCACUUUUUAGUACACCGCUUUAAGAAGUGCCCAACGAUAUUUAACUGCAGUUGAAAAAGUCAAACUAUAGUUAGCAAAAUCCAUUUUUAAGCCAUUUCUCCAGUGAGAAAAGUAACUUUCAAAUUGCUUUUGUUUAUAAUAGGCUAGGAUAUGGUUGGGUCAGGUCAUGGGCAUUUGAGUGGCGUAGUCACUUGGGCCUUGGGCUCAGUGACUUCGGUUUAAGAUAUCAAUGCUACUUUUCUUACCUCUAUUGGGAAUUUAAUAAUUAUUUAUUUAAAUUUUAUUUUCUUGUAGUUGACUAGUUGACACUAGUAUUUGUCAAGAGUCUAUAGGCAACGAAUAGAAAAACGUAACCAUGCUUGUUGAAUGAUAAGUUGAUAACUCCUGAAUAAAUCAUUUUGUCAUUUGGUCAGUCCCAACCUCAUAUGAUUAUAUCAAUAUAGUUUACGAGCAAUAUUAAAAAAACAUAAUUAUUCAUCAGAAAAAUUAACUUACGUAUACCUUAUUUAGCAUUUUCUUUUUUAAGAUAUUAACUUAACAGAUAUAAUCUUUGAAUAUAUAUGUAUAUGUAUUAUUUUAUGAUUAUGCAUGCAAUAUUUUUUUUUUUUAAGGAAAAUAACCGAUCAAAAUCAAUGAAGUAAAUAAAUAAAUAAAUAAUAACCGAUCAAAUCAUAAGAAAUGCUAGGAUAGAAAUGUUAGGUCUCUAAGCCAAGUAUGAAGAAAAAUUGAAAAUUAAACUAGCGAUAAACUUACUUUUUGACGUUUAAAUGAUUGAAUAUUGAUAUAAAUCAUAUGAAAAAUUUAUAGUUUUGAACUUGAUCCAUCACUAUAUCCAAAGUUUUACCAUGUCUAAAGGUGUGCGAGUUAUGCAUGCAAUAAUUUAAAUAUUCAAGAUAUUAUUAAGUAUAUAAUUUCGUUGUAGAUAUUUAAUUAAUAUGAUGAGUUUCUUUAUUUGACAUCUAAUUAUUACAAUGAGUUACCAAAUAGUAGUAUAAAAAAAAAAAAAAAUAGUAGUAGUAUCUUCAAAAUUUCUGAAAUUUUGUAGUUUUGGUUUAUUUAAUAAAAAAAAUUCACCUAAUAGUUGGAUUGAUUAGAGUAAUAUUCUAGACAUAAACUAUUGAAGAAGAGUUGAAUAACUUUGACACUAAAUGGAAAUGGAGCAUAUCUCAUGCGUGUGAGAACAAAGGGUAGAUAGUAGACUUGUUCAUCUAUUUCCUAACCAAAAGUAUAUUAAAAACAAAAUGGUAGGUGGAAAUAUUCGAAUUUAUAAUUAUCAAUUUGAUGAUUAAGUCAUUUGUUUUGGACCAGAAGUUAUACAGCACAUGACAUGAGUUGUUUAUGUAAUUGCCAAAAGACUCAUUCCAAACAUUGCUUUAUUUUUUUUGACAAAACCAAACUUUGCUUCUAUAGUGUUCUAUGACUAGUAUUUUUAUUUUAUGACAUUAAGACAAAGUUAAAUAAGGUGAAUUGUAAGGGAAAUAAGAGAAAAUGGACUAAUAAGUUAUAUAAAAUUAAAUUAGAUGGUGUUUGGAAACCUAGAAAGAAACCAUACUUGAUAUGCAGAUAUAUAUGGUUGCAAAAUCAAAAUUUAAUAGUAAAAUAAACUACUCCUUUUUGUGUCCAUCUUAAAAGUCAACAUCAUUUUUAGAAACAUACCAAACAAGUCAUAGGCUAUUUGUUUGACUUUUACACAUAGAAGAAUGUGGUAGCGCACUUUGAUAAGUUGCCUCUCCACUAAGCCAUAUCACCUUUUCCUAAGCUAAUUAGGCCAUCUCAAAGUUCUAUCUAUCACCCUCAUAUUUACCUUCUCCUCUUCUUCUUCUACCUAUAUUCUUCAUCAUCAACAUCUCAUUCUUCCUCUAAUAUUCUUCAUCCUUUAAACUUAUGCCACUAGUGAUAUCAAAAGGUAUAAAUUUGGUUUCGUCAGAUAAUUGCAAGGUUUAAUUUUUCGAACUGAGUAGAACCAUCAACGUGAAAACUCUCAUAUAAGAGUUUUUAACAUUGCGACAAAUUCAAAUUAUUAGUGUUAACUUGUCAUCUCGAUCUCAUUCAAAGAUGUAUUGAGUCAAAUUAAUUUUUAUUAAGAUAACAAACAAGUUGUUAUACUUAUAUAUAUCAUUUUCUUUUGACUUUUAUAUAUAGGACGUUGUCAUAUUUUGAUAAUUUGCCUCCUCAAGAAGGCCUAACAUAAUUUCAUCUUCUAAUUCUAUCAUUAGAUGCUUUUAAAUUUUCAUCACCUCCACAAAUGCCUCCACCUCUUCUUAUUCUUCAUUGUUCCAUCAUCAUCAACAUCUUUCUCUUCCUCUCACUCUUCUUCUUAAUCCCAAUACAUGUCAAUAGUGACGGUGAAAGCUACAAAUCUUGUGCACCUUUUAGAUGUGGAGAUUUCACCAACAUUAGUUACCCAUUUUGGAGUAUUAACAACCAUCAAAAUUAUUGUGGUCAUCCAAACUUCGGAGUUGAUUGUGAACAUGGCAACUUGACUAUUGAAAUCAAGUCACAAAAGUUUCACAUCAUUGAUAUAAAUCAAACUUCACAAGUUUUGAGGAUUGCAAGGUUGGAUUUAUGGAGUUAUGAUUCUGCUACUAUUGCUUCUUGUCCCAAGAAAUAUAUCAAUGUAACCCUAGAUUCGGAAUUCUUCAAUUACACUUCCAAUUAUGAGAAGUAUACGCUAUUAUAUGAGUGUGGUUCUCUUCCCGAUCCAUACUCGUCUUCUUUGGGUUCAGAAGUUUCUCAAUUUAUUUCUUGCCUCAUAGAUGGUAAACCUCGUGAUGCAUACGUAGUCUCAAGUGCAAAAGUGGCUGAUUUCAUUUCUUUGGGAUGUAAGAAUAAUAUUACAAUUCCUGGCCUAAACAGUUCCUUCCUAGAAGACUCAGAUUUGGUAACGAAUGUUUUAGACCAAGGAUUUGAGGUUAAGUGGAGUGGCGUGGAAGAAGACAUAUGUGAUGGUUGCAUGAAAUCCGGAGGGAGAUGUGGAUAUAAUACAACUGAGAAUGUGGUUUUGUGUCUAUGUCCUAAUCAACAAUCUUCUGGUUAUUGCGGAUUUUGCAGCCCCAAUUCAACAACUAUACCUUUGCCUAAUGAGCCCGAUUGUAAAAGAACCCGAUCGUUUAAAUCCGUGAUACCACCACCUCUAGAAGCACCAUCAAAUGAACGAAUACCAUCAAAUGGACAAGUUCCGUUAAAUGGACUAACACCGGCAGGGGGUCCAAAUUCAAAAGAGUCUAGUAAUGAUUCGGGUAUGUAUUCU